AGUGAACGCUGGCGGUAGGCCUAACACAUGCAAGUCGAACGGCAGCACAGUAAGAGCUUGCUCUUACGGGUGGCGAGUGGCGGACGGGUGAGGAAUACAUCGGAAUCUACUUUUUCGUGGGGGAUAACGUAGGGAAACUUACGCUAAUACCGCAUACGACCUACGGGUGAAAGCAGGGGAUCUUCGGACCUUGCGCGAUUGAAUGAGCCGAUGUCGGAUUAGCUAGUUGGCGGGGUAAAGGCCCACCAAGGCGACGAUCCGUAGCUGGUCUGAGAGGAUGAUCGGCCAGACUGGAACUGAAACGCGGUCCAGACUCCUACGGGAGGCAGCAGUGGGGAAUAUUGGACAAUGGCCGCAAGCCUGAUCCAGCCAUACCGCGUGAGUGAAGAAGGCCUUCGGGUUGUAAAGCCCUUUUGUUGGGACAGAAAAGCAGCAGGUUAAUACCCCGCUGUUCUGACGGUACCCAAAGAAUAAGCACCGGCUAACUUCGUG
rnacentral:rRNA from 1 species